UUGUGAUAGCUAUUCUAUAAUUACCCCAUCAAGCAUAUUUGGUUAUUGUAAUACCCAGCCCAGCUAAUAAAAAACUGAACCUAAUCCACUUGACCGAUCUAGAUGUAAGAGUCGGAGUAGGAGAUGGAAAAAAAUGAUAGAGCCUCACUUGAUUGAGAGUAAAAGAUGGAAAAAAAAUAGAGCUUUGUUCGACUUAGAGUAGGAGACGGACUCCCCCUCGAGCUUGAUUUUCUACAAGAGCUAGAAAAUCUAGCCUCCAACGUCUAUUAAAAUACCCCCACACCCU
rnacentral:lncRNA from 1 species